UACGUAGGGGGCUAGCGUUGUCCGGAUUUAUUGGGCGUAAAGAGCGUGUAGGCGGCCAGGUAGGUCUGCUGUGAAAACUCGAGGCUCAACCUCGAGAUGUCGGCGGAAACCAUCUGGCUAGAGUCCGGAAGAGGAAAGUGGAAUUCCUAGUGUAGCGGUGAAAUGCGCAGAUAUCGGGAAGAACACCCGUGGCGAAGGCGGCUCUCUGGGACGGUACUGACGCUGAGACGCGAAAGCGUGGGGAGCGAACAGG
rnacentral:rRNA from 1 species